CUAUAGGAAGCCCCAUGGCAGGAGUACUAGCAGAGUUGGUCGUGCGAUAUAAAGAACAGAACAUCAUACCAUCUUUGAGGAGAGAAUAUAUUAUAUACAGGUGGUAUUUUGAUGAUAUUUUGGUAAUUUCAGAAAACUCAGAACAUCCUUUCCCCCUGGAAGAGAGAAUGACAGAUCAAGCUUUGGGUUUAAAGUUGAUUAAACAGAAAGAAGAUAGAGACCACAUUAGUUUUUUUUUUAUGUAAAAAUUGAUAUUGUAAGAGGUAAGAGGAGGUACCAUUUGAGUGUCUUUAGAAAAGAUAUGUACCUACCACUUUUCAUUGAUGCGAACUCAAAGGAGCCAUGGGCUUAUGAGAUAUCGGCGUUUAGAUCCCU
rnacentral:lncRNA from 1 species